UCCUGUUCUGAAGAUGGAGGAAGCUGAGGCACCAGUAACUUAAUGAACUCGCCCAAAGUGACAGAGACAGCAAAUGGCAAGCUGGCUGGUGAACCUGGAGGAACCCUCGUAUGACUCACCUUAAGUUCACCAAGAUGGACGGUGGCAGCAACAUGGCUUUGCUCUUGUCAAGCUCCCUACUCCCUUUUCCACAUCCCUCCGCUACAACUCCUUGUGUCUACUCCAUCCCAGGUCAAGAAACGACAUUGUUUUCCUGAGCCGCGGUGACAGCGAGGUGACAGAGAUUAAUAGCUUGGUAUUGACUGAGCAACUUCCAGUUCCUUAUCUCUGUCAAGUCAAGGCUGUGUCCAAGGGCUGAAAGUGUUAUUAGACUUAUAAUUGCAAAGACAUUUAAAGGGUUUCCCCUUAAGGGACUAUGAAAUCCAAUAAACCUUUCACAAAACCUCCAGCACCGGAGUGCGAAGCCCCGUCUGGGAGAGCGGCGCGCUCCCAGCCAAGCGCCGGGAAACCUUGAAGCCGCCAGCAUUGAAUAAUGUUUGAUUUAUGAAGUUGGUUUUGAAUUUGUAUCAGUUGUUUUAUUAAAAAUAUAUGAAAGGAAGUUUUAAAUAUGAGCAAGCCCUGUAGGAGCGCGUCUGCACCGAGCCGCUGUCUGGUUCAGCCUCCCACUGCCUCCAGGCUGGGUCCCUCCACCAGGGAGGAGCCAGGAGGGAGGGACCCUAGGCUAAUUUGCGGGGUUCAUUUGGUCUGCAGGGCGUAAGUCUCAAUUUCUCACCCAGGUUGAAGGAGGAAGGUGCAGGGGCUGGAGCAUGGGGAGUGGGUGGGUGUGGAGUCAGUGGCUAUGAGAUGCUGUCUGUGGGGUGGCCUGGGGACAUCUCUCAGCUGCACUUACUUGUCAAGAGCAACAUCAUCAGCUUAUGGGAGACGUGGUCCUGACCCCUUCAGGAAGGCUGCAGCACCAAAGGCUGCAGGCAGGGCGAAGGGUGGUUUGCAGGAGACCUGUUUGGGGUGCUGGAUGUAGGGGCAGGGGCUGUGGUGUGAGUUACAACUCUGGGCCUCCGUUUCCCUGCCCCCCUCCUCCCCCCCGAAACCCACUGAGCAAGGCUGGGAAUCAA